AUGCAAGAUUAUCGCCAUUAUGCACUCAAUUUGUUCUUCUUGCAACAAUGGCCUCAUGUUCGUGAUGGUUAUGAUCCGGUGCAGGCGCUUAAAUGGGUUCAUAAAAUGUUAUCCGUGCUAGAACUUUCGGUUGGCUGGACGAAGACACCGACGGGACAAUGCUGGAGACCACCUGAUCCAGGAUGGGUGACAAUCAAUAUCAAUGGUUUGGUUAAUGUUGAGGCCAUGCAUGGAGGAGCGAGAAGUGUAGCCCAAUCUCAUUUCGCGUUUCUCGAGGCUUGGAGCAAGCCUCUUCGGGGAGUCCUAGACUCAUUCAUCACUGAACUUUUGGCUCUUCAAGAGGGGGUGAUCUUUGCCCAACUUCAUGGUUACUCACAAGUGAUGGUGUAG
rnacentral:rRNA from 1 species